rnacentral:lncRNA from 1 species
UGUGUUGAUUUAUUGAAAGUAUAAUACUUGAAAAUUAAACUCUGCAAUAACAUAAUUAAUGUAUUUGUAAAGUUAUAGCUCUGUCAUGUCGAAACUGUAUUGAAGAUCUUAUUACCAAUAAGUAUUAAAAGAUACAACAUGACUUUAUAACAUGUUAUAAGUUGUCCUACUUUGGGGUUUCCACACGAAUUUGUAAUCCCAUCGUAAGAAAUAUUUUGGUUUAAA